rnacentral:rRNA from 1 species
GACGAACCGUGCGAACGUUAUUCGGAAUCACUGGGCUUAAAGGGCGCGUAGGCGGGCUGUCAAGUCUGGGGUGAAAUCCCGCGGCUCAACCGUGGAACUGCCUCAGAUACUGACGGCCUCGAGGAAGGUAGGGGCAUGCGGAACUGUAGGUGGAGCGGUGAAAUGCGUUGAUAUCUACAGGAACUCCGGUGGCGAAAGCGGCGUGCUGGACCUUUUCUGACGCUGAGGCGCGAAAGCUAGGGGAGCAAACGGG